UAGAGACAUUUAUCAAUCACUACAAUUUUUGCCCCCCUCUUGUACAUAUUUUUUUCUAUUUUUGAGUGGGUGGCAAAAUAUAGGGGUUUUUUGGGGGUGCCAUCAAAGUUGAAAUGUCUAAGUUUCACCUUGAUAUGUUUAACCUCACUCUUAGUUCAUAAAAAUAAAAGCAUUUAAUAUGCAUUGAUUUUUAUAAUAUAAUUUUGUAAACAACACCAAUUUAUCUUGUGGUAGUUUUAUUUUAUAAACAAAUGUGUGGUCACCUCUUGAAUGAAUUAUUUUCAUAAUUCAAAUCUAAUAUUUUUCUUGAAAUUAUUCUCUUGUCUAUCAUGAAAAGGUACAUGUCUAUCAUGAAAAGGUAGAAGAAGAAGAAAUAUUUAAUGAACUGAGUGAACUCAAUUUAAAGAAAAAUAAUCUUGAUGUGCAUCAAAUUUUUUAUUAGAGAUAUUUACUAAUGUUAAGUGAUCAAUUGAGAGAGUUUAAGGAUAAACACAACACAUUGAUAAACUAUAGAGACAUUUAACAAUAACUUCAAUUUUAUGAAUAGUUUCUUAAAACUAUUAAGUGUUAAAAACUAUUUACUUGAUGUGAUGAAAACACAAUUUUUUUACAUAUAAAGCGUUCAAACAAGUUUUUAUUGAUUUCAUGUAAUAGAGGAAAAAUAUGUCUCAAAUUUCCUAUUUUCUCAAAGCUUUGUUAAUAUUUUUUUCUCUAUUCCUUGUUGAAAUCAAUGGUGAGGUAAAACCCUGCACAUAUAACAUUGAUUGUCCGUUAAGUAUGUGUCCUAGUCCUGAAAUUCCAAAGUGCGUUAAUUCUAUUUGUGAGUGCAAACAAUUUAUAAUUGAUUCAGCUGCAUUCCAAGCGUACUUACAUGAUUAGUGAAACUCUUCUUGUUGAGAAUCGUAGUUCUACAUAUUGUAUUUUGGAAUGAAGCAAAUUCUUUCUUUGAAGACUCUAUUUAUUUUUCCGUAAAUUUGGGAAAUGGUCUUACUCUGGUAGGUUACAUCAGGUAGAGGAAAUUAUGUACCAUGAUAAAAAAAAAAUUCAAAUAUUCAAUUGAGGAAUAUGUAAAAGAGUGGUGAUGUUCUUUACCUCAUGAAAAUAAUUUUCAAAUUGUAUUUUAUUUUCCUUCAACUAUUUUAUUUAUAGAAAAUUUUAGAUA